UUUAAUCUCUGACCUAAUUGAUUCAACCCAUAUCCUAGCUUAUGUUUCUUGCAAUUGAAAUUUAGAUCUUAAAUUCAUAAUUUUUAGAUCUUUUAAUUUCAAAUCUUAAUUCUUAAUUAAGUUCAUUAUGGACAUGGGUUCAGUUUAGAUGUCAAAAUAAUUUUUAAUCUAAAUUAAUUAAUAUUGUAUCACAUAUAAUUUCAUAUUUUGAUAUUUUUCUUGCAUCAUUUAAAGUUCUAAUUUAGAUGAGAAAUAAUUUUCAAAUCUAAACAAUUUUACUAUGCAACAAAAAUAAAGAUCCUAUGGUUUUAGAUCUAGGGUUUGAC
rnacentral:lncRNA from 1 species